rnacentral:rRNA from 1 species
AGAGUUUGAUUCUGGCUCAGAACGAACGCUGGCAGCGUGGAUUAGGCAUGCAAGUCGAACGUGAAGCCGUUGAUCAAUCUUUCGGGAAAGUGAUUCGGUGGAAAGUGGCGGAAGGGAGAGUAACGCGUGGGCAACCUACCUCUGAGUUGGGGACAACUCUGGGAAACUGGGGCUAAUACCGAAUACGGUGCUUCGUCGCAUGGCGAGGUUACUAAAGGUGGGGCUCCUUCGGGACCUGCUGCUCGGAGAGGGGCCCGCGUGCCAUUAGCUUGUUGGUGAGGUAACGGCUCACCAAGGCGUAUGGCUAGCUGGUCUGAGAGGAGGAUCAGCCACACUGGGACUGAGACACUGCCCAGACUCCUACGGGAGGCUGCAGUCGAGGAUCAUUCGCAAUGCGCGAAAGCGUGACGAUGCGACGCUGCGUGGAGGAUGACGGCCUUCGGGUUGUAAACUCCUGUCAUUCGGGAAAAACUGCUUCGGGGAUAAUACCCUCGGGGUUUGAUGGUACCGGAAGAGGAAGCCACGGCUAACUCUGUGCCAGCAGCCGCGGUAAUACAGAGGUGGCGAGCGUUGUUCGAUUUACUGGGCGUAAAGCGUGCGCAGGCGGUUUCGUAUGUCGGGUGUGAAAGCCCAUGGCUCAACCAUGGAAUUGCAUCCGAAACUGCGGAACUGGAGUGCAGGAGGGGAGAGCGGAAUUCUUGGUGUAGCGGUGAAAUGCGUUGAUAUCAAGAGGAACACCGGUGGCGAAGGCGGCUCUCUGGAAUGUUACUGACGCUCAAGCACGAAAGCUGGGGGAGCGAACAGGAUUAGAUACCCUGGUAGUCCCAGCCGUAAACGGUGUCGACUUGGUGUUGGGGGUAUUGACCCCCCCAGUGCCGGAGCUAACGCGUUAAGUCGACCGCCUGGGGAGUACGGCCGCAAGGCUAAAACUCAAAGAAAUUGACGGGGGCCCGCACAAGCGGAGGAGCAUGUGGCUUAAUUCGAUGCAACGCGAAGAACCUUACCAGGGCUUGACAUAGUGCUGCAAGCCACCCGAAAGGGAGGUCGCUUUCGAAGGUGCAUUACAGGUGCUGCAUGGCUGUCGUCAGUUCGUGCCGUGAGGUGUUGGGUUAAGUCCCGCAACGAACGCAACCCUUGUGGUUAGUUGCCACCGGCGGUGAUGAGCCGCUGAGCACUCUAGCCAGACUGCCCGUACAAGCGGGAGGAAGGUGGGGAUGACGUCAAGUCAGUAUGGCCCUUACGCCCUGGGCUGCACACGUGCUACAAUGGCUGGUACAAUGGGACGCAAUACCGCGAGGUGGAGCAAAUCCCCAAAACCAGCCCCAGUUCGGAUUGGAGUCUGCAACUCGACUCCAUGAAGUCGGAUUCGCUAGUAACGGCGUAUCAGCUACGGCGCCGUGAAUACGUUCCCGGGCCUUGUACACACCGCCCGUCACAUCAUGAAAGCCGUCUGCACCCGAAGUCGCUGAGCUAACCCGCAAGGGAGGCAGGUGCCGAAGGUGUGGGUGGUGAUUGGGAUGAAGUCGUAACAAGGUA